UGGGGAAUAUUGCACAAUGGGCGCAAGCCUGAUGCAGCCAUGCCGCGUGUAUGAAGAAGGCCUUCGGGUUGUAAAGUACUUUCAGCGAGGAGGAAGGCGGUAAGGUUAAUAACCUUAUCGAUUGACGUUACUCGCAGAAGAAGCACCGGCUAACUCCGUGCCAGCAGCCGCGGUAAUACGGAGGGUGCAAGCGUUAAUCGGAAUUACUGGGCGUAAAGCGCACGCAGGCGGUCUGUCAAGUCGGAUGUGAAAUCCCCGGGCUGAACCUGGGAACUGCAUUCGAAACUGGCAGGCUAGAGUCUUGUAGAGGGGGGUAGAAUUCCAGGUGUAGCGGUGAAAUGCGUAGAGAUCUGGAGGAAUACCGGUGGCGAAGGCGGCCCCCUGGACAAAGACUGACGCUCAGGUGCGAAAGCGUGGGGAGCAAACA
rnacentral:rRNA from 1 species